rnacentral:rRNA from 1 species
GACGAACGCUGGCGGCGUGCUUAACACAUGCAAGUCGAACGGAAAGGCCCUGCUUUUGUGGGGUGCUCGAGUGGCGAACGGGUGAGUAACACGUGAGUAACCUGCCCUUGACUUUGGUAUAACUUCAGGAAACUGGGGCUAAUACCGGAUAGGAGCUCCUGCUGCAUGGUGGGGGUUGGAACGUUUCGGCGGUUGGGGAUGGACUCGCGGCUUAUCAGCUUGUUGGUGGGGUAGUGGCUUACCAAGGCUUUGACGGGUAGCCGGCAUGAGAGGGUGACCGGCCACAUUGGGACUGAGAUACGGACCAGACGCCUACGGGAGGCAGCAGUGGGGAAUAUUGCACAAUGGGUGGAAGCCUGAGGCAGCAACGCCGCGUGCGGGAUGACGGCCUUCGGGGUGUAAACCGCUUUCGCCUGUGACGAAGCGUGAGUGACGGUAAUGGGUAAAGAAGCACCGGCUAACUACGUG